ACACACAACAAUUGAGAGCAUUCUUCUCAAAAGUUGAGUGCUGAAAAGAGAAACUCAAUCUUGAGAAUUAAGGGGAGAGUAACGCCUAGGAGAAGAGAAGAGCCUUCGUGAGAGAGCAAGCAGAAGUUAGCCACGAAAAACAACCAGAUUCAGCUAGCAUCUCUUCUUAAACAUGAGAGCAUAGGAGAGCGAAAAGAACGAGAAACGGGCCAAAAACGGAGAAAAUGGGCCAAAGUACGAACUCAACACGGCCUAGACUUCCUCACACAGGCAUCCCACACGCCCGUGCCAUUCUAAUAGGCUCGAGCACGGCCUGAAGUAAUCACACACGGGCGUGUCCUUGCCGAGCCCAAGUUGAGUCCAAUUCAGAAAAGGCUAAUUUUGAGGGCUCAUAGGCAUUCCAAAGCUAUAAAUACACCCUAGAAGA